rnacentral:rRNA from 1 species
UACGUAGGGGGCUAGCGUUGUCCGGAAUCAUUGGGCGUAAAGAGCGUGUAGGCGGCCCGGUAAGUCCGCUGUGAAAGUCCAGGGCUCAACCCUGGGAUGCCGGUGGAUACUGUCGGGCUCGAGUCCGGAAGAGGCGAGUGGAAUUCCUGGUGUAGCGGUGAAAUGCGCAGAUAUCAGGAGGAACACCAAUGGCGAAGGCAGCUCGCUGGGACGUGACUGACGCUGAGGCGCGAAAGCGUGGGGAGCGAACAGG